rnacentral:rRNA from 1 species
UACGGAGGAUCCGAGCGUUAUCCGGAUUUAUUGGGUUUAAAGGGAGCGUAGGCGGGUUGUUAAGUCAGUUGUGAAAGUUUGCGGCUCAACCGUAAAAUUGCAGUUGAUACUGGCAUCCUUGAGUACAGUAGAGGUAGGCGGAAUUCGUGGUGUAGCGGUGAAAUGCUUAGAUAUCAUGAAGAACUCCGAUCGCGAAGGCAAGUGUCCGGGGUGCAACUGACGCUGAGGCUCGAAAGUGCGGGUAUCAAACAGG